UGGGCACAUCACCUUGUGUCACCCCUCGGGGCUUCAGCAGCUCCAGUGCUGCUCCUCUGCACAUCCCUGCAGCCCCUGCCCAUGGGUGAGACGCCUGCCUUCCCCACAGCGCUGCUGGCAGCACGGGGCUAAUCCCCCAGAGCCCUGAGCCGAUCGGGGUGGCUGGGGGGGCAGUGGCGAGCUGCAGUGGCCAGGGGAGCUCUCCGUGCCAGGGUGGCUGCCCAAGGAGGCAGUGCUGAGCCCGCGGGGGACCUGGAGACAGAAGGACACCAAGGACCUUCUUGGGCUGCCCAGGAGCCAGCCCAGUGAGCAGCUGGUGUUUCCUGGGCACUGUGCACCCCGUGCUGGGCUCUGCCAGCUGAAGAGCCCGGGCAGUGCCCGCAGCCAGCGGGAUGAUGGGCUGGAUUGACCGGGUGGUGCCCCAGCCCCCGGUGCCCCACGUGGCGGAGGAGAGCCCUGUGCAGCCAGCCAAGGCACCGACAGCAAAGGCUGCUGGCCCCACAGAUGCUGCUGAACGGGCACGCACGGAGGAAACAGAAAAGAAAGUGACCUUUGUGGCUUCUGAGGACUCGAGUUCUGUGUUUGACAGUGUGGGGAGCAGUGUCCUCUCCUGGCUCUCCCAUGGGCUGGAGAAGGUGAUUCCCCAGCCAGCCCCAGCCCCAGGGCUGCAGGCACUCGGGAAGAGCUUCGAGACAAGCAUCGACGUUGCUGAUGAGACAGAGGUCCAGGUCAUUGGGGAUGAGGACGACGAUGGUCUGGAGAUAACUCCCUUCGAUGCCGAGGACGACGCGUCCGAGGGGGAGCUGGAGAGCGCCCCGGAGCAGUGGGCAGGACAGCGGGUUCUCAGCUGGCUCUCACAGGGCUUCGAGAGGAUUCUGCCGCAGCCAGAGGGCAUGAAAAAGACGGAGACAGAGCCGAAGGAGAAGAGCGAAGGCGCGGUGGAAGGCACAGAAGGGACUAAAACCCAGGUGAAGUCGAAGCCCAGCGCUGCAGGCGUUCCGAGUGCCCCGGCGGCAGCGAAGGCAGCGGCGGCCCAGGCCCAGCCGGAGCCAGGGGCUGCCCUGAGCCCUCAGCCCGUGGCUAUGGAUGGCACCAGGAUGUUCAGCUGGUUUGUCCAGGGGCUGGAGAAGGUGAUGCCACAGCCGGUGACCAGGGAGAAGCAGGACACACAGGGAGUGGCCACCGCAACCUCGAGUCCUGUGGAACAAAGGGGCAAAGGGGCUUAGCGCCUCUGAAACAAACGGAAAACGAAGACCGUGGCAAACCAGCCCUUCCCACACCCCAAAGAGACCAGCCUGAGGAGAAAGCACAGCUGGGGAGGAAAAGCAAAGGGGAAUCUGCAAAUGGUGUCCAGCUCCUUCCCAGCUGGGGCAGUGGGGACCCAAAGCUGGCACAGGGACCCAGCCCCAGGGCUGCCCCACUUGGCUCCCUCUUUGCUCUGGGAAUUGGAGCUGCUGCUUUUGCAGGAUGGCGUCUGUGAGAUGGGAGCUAUAAUUUAUAGGAUGGUAGAAAAGCAUCACUCAGGACACCUCAGAGGCAGAAAGCCUCUUGCUGCAGUCUCCCAGCAUUCCUGGCCCUCUCAAUGCCCCCACAACAUCUGAAUAUUCACCCCAAGACCCCCAGCUGAAAUCUCCAGGCUUCUUUGAGUCAACUUCUGCCUCUGGGGUGUAAUGUUAUAAACCUCUUGAAGCUCUUGUCAUGUCCUUGUUGCUUUUCUUCCAUAACUGAGUGUUUCCUCCCAGCAAGUGGAAAGGGCUCUGAUUUGCAGCAGCAAAUCAGGAGGGUGAGGUUAAUCUCCAGGUGAAUAGGUUGGAGUUAAUGGUUAACCAUAUUUGCCCAGGUUUUUCUUCUGAGAGAACUUACCCCAAACUCUCCUUACCCCCAGCUAUGGCUGCUCCCUCCUGAAGCUGAGAGCUUCAGCACUACCUGCAGCAGCAGGAAUGUCCCAGCAGGGAGGGGGUUCCAGGGGCUGUCUCCAGCCCAGAGGCUGCAGGCAGGCAUGGGGGGUGGGAGCCCCUACACCCCAGGUUUUGGAUACAGACCUUGGAGCAGCAGACUGGUUUGGGUUGUGAGUGACCUUUGAAGAUGAUCUGGUCCAGCUUCCCUGUCCAUUAGACAAGGUUGCUGCAGGCCCUGUCCAACCUGGCCUUGAACACUUCCAGGAUGGGGCAGCCACAGCACACUAUUCCUUCCUUAUGUCCAAUAUGGAUGUCCUUCUUUCAGUUUAAAACUGCUGCCCCUUGUCCUUGCAGACCCUGGUACAAAGCCUUUUUCCACAUUUUGAAUAGCCCCCUGAUGUAUUGACAGGCCAGGUUGAGAUCUCCCACUGUUGCAUCUCUUUAGGAUCAUCCAGGCAACUCUGAGUUGUGAGCCUGGAGACCCCUGGAGAUCCAUCCCUGCGUUUAAAAUGAAUCUUGCUUAUACCAGGACACAGUUUUAGUAUUUACCACAUUUUCAUAUAAUGUAUCCAAAAGCCAUGGUGUGCUUUAGAAGCCAUUCCCCUGAUUGCUGCCCCAUGUUUUAAUUAAUGGAGAUCCAGAGGGAAUAGGCUGAAGGCAUUGUGGACACCAUGGGGUGGGUAAACAAGCCACAGAUAUGACACUGCAUGGGUUUCCUGCCUUUCUGUAGUUCAGUUUGCACGUUUCCUAUUAGCUUUGCUGUGGAUAUGUAAGUUUUGCUGUCAGGCAGACCUCAAAAUAAACUGGUUUUCCAGCGA
rnacentral:lncRNA from 1 species